GAUUUCAGCUGAAAACGUCAUCAACAAUAAAGUUGUAUAACUCAUCAAGAUCUAUAACUUCUAUUUUGGUCUUUUUUCAUCCGACAAAGUUAUCAUAACAUAUUCUUAAAAUUUACAUAAAUAUGUACAUUUUAUGAACAAUGUUACAAAUCACUUUGUCGGAUGAAGAAAUGACCAAAAUAGAAGUUAUAGAUCUUAAUGAGUUAUACAAUUUUGUUGCUGACGACUUUUUCAGUUGAAAUC
rnacentral:pre_miRNA from 1 species